AGCCUGUCAGAUUGGGCUGCUCUACACCAACAAAUUUGUGAGGGGUGGUAAGGAAAACUGGGGCAGCAGAGGAAGCCUCCCCUUCGACAAGGACUUCAUCACAAAACAAUGAAGUAAAGAUGCCAAGUUUCAGAGACUACAUGUUCGGCUAUCCCUCUAACAAUGAGAACUCUACUCAGGAAAAACAGUUACCUCUCUGGGGGGGGAAAGCUAAAAGACAUCGGAAAAGAAAAAUAGGAAGGCAAGUAUGAACUUAAGAGUCUCUAAGAAGUCCUUCAAUAGCAACCUGUUAGAAUCUGCUCUUCUCCAUAUGUUGUUUUCUUCAGGUGUCUACAAACAACCGGAAACCACCAUGAUCAUCUGCUUUCCACCUUACCAUUUUCUGUAAAUAAACUUGCCUUCCCCUCCCUGUC